rnacentral:rRNA from 1 species
AAAUUGAAGAGUUUGAUCAUGGCUCAGAUUGAACGCUGGCGGCAGGCCUAACACAUGCAAGUCGAACGGUAACAGGAAGCAGCUUGCUGUUUUGCUGACGAGUGGCGGACGGGUGAGUAAUGUCUGGGAAACUGCCUGAUGGAGGGGGAUAACUACUGGAAACGGUAGCUAAUACCGCAUAACGUCGCAAGACCAAAGAGGGGGACCUUCGGGCCUCUUGCCAUCGGAUGUGCCCAGAUGGGAUUAGCUAGUAGGUGGGGUAACGGCUCACCUAGGCGACGAUCCCUAGCUGGUCUGAGAGGAUGACCAGCCACACUGGAACUGAGACACGGUCCAG